rnacentral:rRNA from 1 species
CUAGCUGUAAACGAUGGAUACUAGGCGUUGAGAGUAUCGACCCUCUCAGUGUCGUAGCUAACGCGUUAAGUAUCCCGCCUGGGGAGUACGCGCGCAAGCGUGAAACUCAAAGGAAUUGACGGGGGCCCGCACAAGCGGUGGAGUAUGUGGUUUAAUUCGAUGCAACGCGAAGAACCUUACCAGGGCUUGACAUGUCCGGAACCCUGCCCAGAGGCGGGGGUGCCUACGGGAACCGGAACACAGGUGGUGC